UGGGUGAUCUGCCCUGCACUUUGGGAUAAGCCUGGGAAACUGGGUCUAAUACCGAAUACACCUUGCUGGCUGCAUGGCCUGGUGGGGGAAAGCUUUUGCGGUGUGGGAUGGGCCCGCGGCCUAUCAGCUUGUUGGUGGGGUGAUGGCCUACAAGGCGACGACGGGUAGCCGGCCUGAGAGGGUGUCCGGCCACACUGGGACUGAGAUACGGCCCAGACUCCUACGGAGCA
rnacentral:rRNA from 1 species